UACGUAGGGGGCGGGCGUUGUCCGGAAUUACUGGGCGUAAAGAGAGCGUAGGCGGCACUACAAGUCUCAUGUGAAAUACCCGGGCUUAACUUGGGGGUUGCAUGGGAAACUGUAGAGCUUGAGUACAGGAGAGGCAAGCGGAAUUCCUAGUGUAGCGGUGAAAUGCAUAGAUAUUAGGAGGAACACCAGUAGCGAAGGCGGCUUGCUGGACUGAAACUGACGCUGAGGCUCGAAAGCGUGGGGAGCAAACAGG
rnacentral:rRNA from 1 species